rnacentral:misc_RNA from 1 species
UUCACACAGAUCUUCACGACAUUACUUUUUAAAAAGCUGAUAGAUACGUUCAGCAGGGAUGAAAGUUUACCUGUGACCUUGUCUGUGAUAUGUCAUUUUGCUCUUCAAAUCUUACUCUCACACGCUGACAUUAUCAAGCAAUCAGUGACGUGUUUACUUACGUUUCUGCUUCCGUCCGCGCCCAUUGAGUGGUUGCUCAAUUGUCGGUACUGUGACGGUGCAUAGAGUGCGGUCAUUAUCUCUAUCUGUGGGAGAAGUGUGUUCCUUGACGCUUACGCGAAUGUUCAACGAGAGCAUUUCGAUUCAAGAACCGGGAAAACUCCUCUAAAGUGUACUAAGCCUUAGCGGGUUCAUUCUCGCGAAGACUAGGGACACAAAAUCGUUUUAAUUUAGCCCUCGCCUCAAUUUUCUCAAUGGCACGUUUGCGGAUGCAGAUUGCGGCUUAUGUAGCCACUCUUGUCCUCUUUGUGCAGUUUAGAGGAGGAUACCAGUAUUCCCUAGCAAAUCCUCGCAACCGCCUGCGUUACUUUGUUGCUAUAAUUGGAUACUCUGUAGAUCUAGAUUGUCAAAUGGAUGAUCCUUACGUCAGUGUUUCUCUAAAACAAGCAAAAGAUGGAAAGGAGUUUGAAAGGAUUGUAGAUGGAAUCAAAGUUACACAGAGUGGACAGAUAUUUACCAUUAACAAUGUUGAAGAGUCUGAUAAAGGAAAAUAUUCCUGCAAAGUUAAAAGAACUUCUAUGAGGAUAGAGCAACUUUAUCCUGGGAAGGAUGGAACAGGAAGUCACAUCUCACUUUCUAUAUUUCCAACCAAUACUACAGCAAAAGAAGGAAGACGUGUCAGUUUCACCUGCAAUGUUACUGGAAAAGGCAUAAAAACUGUGGAAUGGUAUAAAAACAAAAAGAGAAUUUCCAGUGCAUCACAUGACUUUAAUGAUAUGCAUACUAGCACUCUUCAACUGUCACCAGUUACCUCUUCUCAAGCAGGCCCAUUUGAGUGCCGUGCAUAUGUUUUAAAUAGGUUUAAGGGAUACAAAGCCAAAUCAGGAGUGCUUUCAGUUAUAGAGUUUAACUUCGUGGCAAAGAAGAGACAGUAUCAGAGAUUAAUUGCUGGAGACCCUGUGACAAUCAACUGCAAGACCAAUGACCAAACAGCAUCCCCCUCUAGGUUAUGGAAGAAGAAAGAUGAUAAAAAUCCAGCAGAGGAAAUUCUUCCAAAUGGGAGAUCUAUAACACGAAGGAAAAACAGAUUCUAUUUUAAGAGUGUGUCAGUGGAUGAUGCUGGUCUGUACAUAUGCAAUGCUACUUUGCCAAGCAUAAACAAGACUAUUAAAGAGGAAAUUACCAGUCUGCUUGUCUUCAAAGGUGACCAAAGAAGUCCUCUGCCUCAGGUGUACCCAUUCACUUCCAGUGUCCUUCGAGGUCAGAAUUUUAAUUUUUCCUGUCAGGUUCCUGGUAAUGGAGUCUCUACCACUUGGUUGAAAAAUGGGGUAGAAGUUCCAAAUCACCAGAUACAGUUACAACCAAGCAAGAUGCUAAAAGGCCUUCCCUUAAGUGAAAAUAUUCUGAUACUAGAGAAGGUUUCAUGGGUAGAUGCAGCAAAUUACACUUGUGUAGUUACAACAGCUCAACAGCCAGGAUAUUCCAGCAAUAUUACUAGGGAGCUAUUUGUUAAAGAAUGCCUUGAGCCCAAUGAAAAGUUUGGUGAUCCCACUGAUCCUAGUGGCUACUUUGUGUGCAAACAAGGAAUCCCUAUCAAAGAAUUCUGUCCACAUUGGAGGAUAUGGAGCCCAGUAGAAAAGAGCUGCACCUUAAACCUGUCAUGGGUUGUUCCUGAUAGAAUGAAUUACCGGUAUGUCAUCUCAGGAACAGUAUUUCAAUUGAACUGCCAACUUAAUGAUCCAAAUGCACAAGUUAGGCUAAGAAGAAAAUUUUCAAAGGAUAGUGAUUUUGUAGAAGUUCAACAGCCAGACAAGUAUGUUACACAAGAUGGCCAGAAUUUCUCAAUACUCUUUACUGGUGAAAAAGUGACUGUCAAGUGCGAGGUUAUCGGGGAGAAUGAUCAAGUUGUUCCCGAGCCAAAGGAAGUGGAGCUAACAAAAGCACAAGACUUUCAGGUACAUGUAAACGUCGUAACCAUACCACACUGUAUACAUGGUCCUUUGGAUGUAAAUGAUAGCGUCGAAGUAGACUGCCGUGGGUAUCAUUACGGGAUAGGGAAGUGGUUUAAAAUAGAUCCAGGAUCGACAGUUCCUCAGGAUCUAACAGAUCCAUCUAUCGUCAUCCCUCGUCGGUCAGAAUCCUUGCGAACGGGCCAUUGGGCAAAAAACGUUACUUUGAAGCUGCGUAAUGUAAAGCGAAGUGACAGAGGGAAGUAUGUCUGCUCAAAAAGCAAUGGAUACAAUGCAACCGCCAACAUUAGUAUCAUCAUCGAUGUUGCAGAUCCCUCACCAGCAGGUAUAGCAGUUGCACCUUCUCCCCAGUCUGUCGAAGAGCAAUCUGGUGCCAGAUUCCGCUGCACUGUAAGUGGUUCCCCUCGUCCGACGGUAAGAUGGAAGAACAGGAGCGGAAUAGUCGCCACAUGCGAAGGAAAACAACAUGGCAGUUGUAACUCCGUUGAUGGAACUAAGUUCAAAGCAAACUGGGUGGAUAAGAGAACGUGCUUAAGCCAACUAUCGAGUUCCCCAACUAGCGGCAGAUGGCUAAGUACGUUAGAUGUCAAGGAUACGCAGUUUCCAGCAGAUGAUGGUGAUUACACUUGUGAAGUUGACAAUAGUUUGGGUAAACCAGUAAAACGGCAUGCAGGGCUAAGAAUUAUAGUUGAUCCGAAGUUAAUCAAAGAAACAAAGAGCGGAUAUGAAAAGCCUGUUGUCUACAAAGACAUAGAUGAGAGGUUGGAAUGCACGACCGAACGCAGUAAUCCCGCAGCGAAUUUCUCGUGGACAUAUCAGAAUAUCAAAGACGGAUGCAAAGAACCUUCUGAUUGCCUAUCUGGAAAGUGGAUAAAAAUCUCGGGUGGUGUUGGAAAGGUAGAGCAACAGUCUCCGAAUACAAGCAUUCUCGUAGUACCAAGAAACAUCGAUAGAAAAGUUUUCAAGUGUACUGCAACAAACCCCGCCUAAAGAGGAAAAGUAGACUGGAAGUUGUACGAGUUUAUUCGAAGAAAUGAGCCAGAUCACCUCGAAAAUUUGUUUGUCAAGCCCAAACCUUACGUCACAGCCAAUGUUGGUGAGAACAUCACAUUGAGAUGUGAGGCCAGCGUUGGUGUCUUCAAAGAAUCCCCAUUCUGGUCUAAAAAAGGACAACCCCUCAAAAGUAAAUCAUUAGGGAAUUAUCAACAAAUAAGUGAGCUUCGUAUUUAUAAUGCCUCGCUUGACGAUACUGGUCUUUAUAUCUGUUCAGCCAAGAAGCUAAUUGAUGGCCUCUAUACCAACAAGGCUAUUCAAGUGGAAAUAAAGGAGCUGACCAAGCCGACCGUUACCAUCACUCCUAAUGUAACCAAACCCGCAGGCCAGCGUGCUGAAUUAUUCUGCAAUGUCACUGCAAAUCCUCAGCCGAAAUCUGUCACUUGGAGACGAGACGGAGAAAUAAUAAGCAUAGAGAAAACCGAGAGUGAUGACUGCGGUCAACUGAAAAGGGGUGU